rnacentral:rRNA from 1 species
GAUGAACGCUGGCGGCGUGCCUAAUACAUGCAAGUCGAGCGAACAGACGAGGAGCUUGCUUCUCUGACGUUAGCGGCGGACGGGUGAGUAACACGUGGAUAACCUACCUAUAAGACUGGGAUAACUUCGGGAAACCGGAGCUAAUACCGGAUAAUAUAUUGAACCGCAUGGUUCAAUAGUGAAAGACGGUUUUGCUGUCACUUAUAGAUGGAUCCGCGCCGCAUUAGCUAGUUGGUAAGGUAACGGCUUACCAAGGCAACGAUGCGUAGCCGACCUGAGAGGGUGAUCGGCCACACUGGAACUGAGACACGGUCCAGACUCCUACGGGAGGCAGCGGUAGGGAAUCUUCCGCAAUGGGCGAAAGCCUGACGGAGCAACGCCGCGUGAGUGAUGAAGGUCUUCGGAUCGUAAAACUCUGUUAUUAGGGAAGAACAAAUGUGUAAGUAACUAUGCACGUCCUGACGGUACCUAAUCAGAAAGCCACGGCUAACUACGUG